AUUGAACGCUGGCGGCAGGCCUAACACAUGCAAGUCGAACGAGUGGCGGACGGGUGAGUAAUGUCUGGGAAACUGCCUGAUGGAGGGGGAUAACUACUGGAAACGGUAGCUAAUACCGCAUACCAUCGGAUGUGCCCAGAUGGGAUUAGCUAGUAGGUGGGGUAAAGGCUCACCUAGGCGACGAUCCCUAGCUGGUCUGAGAGGAUGACAAGCAGCACUGGACCUGAGAACAGGCCCAAACUCGUACGGGAGGCAGCAGUGGGGAAGAGUGCAGAAUGGGUGAAAGCCGGAGAAAGCCAUGCGGCGUGGAGGAAGAAGUCGAGCGGGUUGUAAAGUACUUUCAGGGGGGAGGCGUAACCCGAAGAGGAAGCACAGGAAAACUCCGUGACAGCAGCCGCGGUAAUAC
rnacentral:rRNA from 1 species